GGGGAAGGAUCUCUUUCUGUAGAUCUCUCCUUUGGGGAGUUUUCCCCAAUGAGUGUAGAUCUUUAGAGUUCCAGCCAAACAUGAGUAUUACAAGGGAGAACAGAAGAAAAACAGGAAGAGAACAGAAGGAGAAACAGAAUUAUAGAAGAGCAAUGUGUAAAUCUGCUAUUUUGUUAAAGUCAAUUACAAGUGGAAAUCUGAAAAUCUUGCCAUGAAGAAGAGCUGAAAAUAAGCACCUAUAUUUUCAAUUGCAAAAAAAAGCUGUUGCAUGUGGUUAGAACAUUCCCUGAAAACUGGAGAUUACUCAGCUGGCUUGCUGGAAAACUAUUGCAUUACUUCUAGAUAAACAUCAUUAAACAGAGUGCAGUGCUUAGCUUCACUCAGCUGGAAAGCUGCAAGUAACUUGCCAUUGACAUGAAAAUGAUUGAGUAGGCAAUAAUGUUCAUUUUUGUAGGGUGACUGAGGUUGCAUAGGAAAAAGGUGAUGCAGUGAAAUUAAAUGUGAGGUUACAUGUGCAGAAACAAAUACUGCAGGGCUGCACUUAGUGAGUGGCUUACAGCAUUUUGGAAAACUAACUCUUUGAAAGCUAAUGAUAGCUUCCAGCACACAGUGAUAGCUUAAAAAUAAAAAAAAAUAAUAAAAAAAGGGCUUAGCAGAAAGAAAUGCUAGAUAUCAGUAACGCAGUUGUGUUACUACUUUGUAUGGUAUUCAUGGUAUAACUAUGUCAUUAUGUUUGCUUCUGGCAUCCAAGCAUCCUGUAUUUGAUGUCAGUGAAUUGGAAUAGUUUCAGGAAAAAAAAAAAAAAAAAGCAGAACAAAAUAAACAAUCUUGCAUUGUAGUAAACUAAAGACAAAGUAAAACCCCCUCAAUCCUUUUUGAUUAUUCAGUAGAACAUUUGGGAAUAGCCUAAGUUUGUAUAUGGAAGUAAGACUUAUGCCUUUAAAUAUCACUACAGAAUCAUGUUGUGAUCCAAAACCUGAAGCAUGGAGCUUCAGAAGAAGUUUGAGGAGUGGGGGAAAAAAGCACGUGUCAAAAAGAAAGAAAAAUCUCAUAAAUACAUUCAAUGCAGCAGCUCAUACUCUAGGAACAUCCUAGAAUCUUUGUAAAUCCAUAUGGUUUAAAACUGGAUCACAUCUCUCUGAAGAAGGGAAGUUAUCACUCAUCUACAAUUACUGCAUUUGUCAGAAAUGACUGGAUACCAGUUAGGAGGCAAAAUAUUUUUGAUGGAAAGUAUAACAUCAGGAAGAAAAGCUGCCAAGUCAGGACCCCUAGAUUCUUCUCUAGAAGUAAUUUUGAUUGCACAGAUCUAGAAACUUCACUAGGACAAAGCUGGAACAGAGAGGAAAUCACAAGAAACAUGAAGAUGUAGUCAAGGAAGGCUUUGAGCAGCAAAAAGAGCGAAACCCAAGUUUUGGAGAUAACAGUUAGGAGAACAGAUUUUGCAAGA